CCGAGAGUUAGGCGCCGAGACACGUGCCUCGGGCCUUGGGGUUCGUUUGAUUUUAGGGCCCUGCGGGGCUGGUGUCUGCAGGGCCGUCGAAGAGGGUGGAGCAGUACUGACUGCUUCCACCACGGGGGCGGGAGGAGUCACUGCGGCACCACUGCGCGUGGGCUCGGAGGACUCCGGAGGCCUCUGUGACGCUGCCCCCGCCUGCGUCACUUCGGCAUAACUUCUUCGGGGAAGCAAGGGCAGGACCGCGAAUAAGCUGGGUGAUCUCCCUUGCAGUUAACACAAUGUGGCGAAGAAGUGCAAUUCUCAGAUUGGUGUUCGUUGGAGCUGCAUUUAGCACAAGUUGCUUGUCCUCGGCAUGCAUGUGAAGCAUGUCCAAAUCUUUGGCACUUAAAACACCGUCUGGGAUUCGGGAUAUACGGUCUCACAUUGACUUUGACAUAACCUGCAUCGAGUGAAGUAGGCAUUACGCUUGUUCCGAAGGAGUUCCUCGUCGCUUAAACCAAUGAAGUCUUCUUCAGAUAUUACUCCCCUGCUUGUAUUAAGUGUUCUGUGGGCUGAAACAGUAACUGUCGCGUCGC